GACGAACGCUGGCGGCGUGCUUAACACAUGCAAGUCGAACGGUGAAGCUCCAGCUUGCUGGAGUGGAUCAGUGGCGAACGGGUGAGUAACACGUGAGCAACCUGCCCCUGACUCUGGAAUAAGCGCUGGAAACGGCGUCUAAUACUGGAUACGAGAAGGGUCCGCAUGGGCACUUUCUGGCAAGUUUUUCGGUUGGGGAUGGGCUCGCGGCCUAUCAGCUUGUUGGUGAGGUAAUGGCUCACCAAGGCGACGACGGGUAGCCGGCCUGAGAGGGCGACCGGCCACACUGGGACUGAGAGACGGCCCAGACUCCUACGGGAGGCAGCAGUGGGGAAUAUUGCACAAUGGGCGAAAGCCUGAUGCAGCGACGCCGCGUGAGGGAUGACGGCCUUCGGGUUGUAAACCUCUUUCAGCAGGGAAGAAGCGAAAGUGACGGUACCUGCAGAAGAAGCACCGGCUAACUACGUG
rnacentral:rRNA from 1 species